rnacentral:rRNA from 1 species
GACAGAGGGUGCAAACGUUGUUCGGAAUUACUGGGCGUAAAGCGAGUGUAGGCGGUUUGGUAAGUCGGAUGUGAAAGCCCCGGGCUCAACCCGGGAAGUGCACUCGAUACUGCCAAGCUAGAGUAUCGGAGAGGUUGGUGGAAUUCUCGGUGUAGAGGUGAAAUUCGUAGAUAUCGAGAGGAACACCGGUGGCGAAGGCGGCCAACUGGACGAAUACUGACGCUGAGACUCGAAAGCGUGGGGAGCAAA